AGCAGCCGCGGUAAUUCCAGCUCCAAUAGCGUAUAUUAAAGUUGUUGCAGUUAAAAAGCUCGUAGUUGAAUUUCGGGAUCAGUGGGUCGGUCGUGCCACUGGUAUGUACUGGCCCUACUGGUUCCUCCUUCUUGAAGAACUGUAAUGCCAUUAAUUUGGUGUUGCAGGGAAACAGGACUGUUACUUUGAAAAAAUUAGAGUGUUUAAAACAGGCAAUCGCUUGAAUACAUUAGCAUGGAAUAAUGAAAUAGGACGUUCGAUCCUAUUUUGUUGGUUUCUAGGAUUGACGUAAUGAUUAAUGGGGAUAGUUGGGGGCGUUAGUAUUCAAUUGUCAGAGGUGAAAUUCUUGGAUUUAUUGAAGACUAACUACUGCGAAAGCAUUUGCCAAGGAUGUUUUCAUUAAUCAAGAACGAAAGUUAGGGGAUCGAAGACGAUCAGAUACCGUCGUAGUCUUAACCAUAAACUAUGCCGACUAGGGAUCGGAUGAUGUUAAUUUUUAAUGACUCAUUCGGCGCCUUAC
rnacentral:rRNA from 1 species